rnacentral:rRNA from 1 species
GACGAACGCUGGCGGCGUGCUUAACACAUGCAAGUCGAGCGGAGCGGCGAACGGGUGAGUAACGCGUGAGUAACUGCCCCCCUCUCUGGGAUAACAGGUGGAAACGGCUGCUAAUACCGGAAAGUGGGGGAUGACUCGCGUCCUAUCAGCUUGUUGGUUGGGUAGUGGCCUCCCACGGCGACGACGGGUAGCCGGCCUGAGAGGGCGACAGGCCAAAUUGGGCUGAGAUACGGCCCAAACGCGUACGGGUGGCAUCAGUGGGGAAUAUUGCUCAAUGGGGGAAACCCUGAUGCAGCAACGCGCGUGCGGGGUGACGGCCUUCGGGUUGUAAACAGCUUUCAGCCAUGACGCGGUAGUGGCAGAAGAAGAACCGGCUAACUACGUGCCAGCAGCCGCGGUAAUAC